AUGGCUGUAGAAUUAAAAGAUGCCACUGACCGUUGCCAGCUUCUUGAAGAAGAAAGCCGAGCGAGGGUGACAGACCUAGAGAAGGCCCUGGUAGCUGCCAAGGAAGCCCGCUCCAAAAUUAGAGCAACGAAGGAGGAGCUGCAUCAAGCUGCAGAUAUCGUGUCUGGGAAGCCCUUCUUAUUGCGGACUAAAUUCAGAGAUCCGAAGUAUGCUCCUCUGGACCGACCAUGGAGUUCUACGGACGCCUACGUGGAUUUGGCUGCAAGUGCUGCUGAUGUGGCCGAGUACUUCAUGGAUCAGAAAGAUCGCGAAGUGGAGAAGCUGUUCUGGUCACAGUUUCAUGCUCCAAUCCGUCCGCUGCUGUUGAAUGAGCGAAUGGCCGAGUGGGCCGAGCUCCAUAGGUUGUCCAGACUUUCCAUGAGGUCCGUUGUAGAUCAUCUGUGGCCGGGAGGGCCAAGGCCGAAUAGCUACUUUAGUUUAGUGCAACAAUUCCUUGGUGCUAUGCCACACAUCGAUGCUGUAAAGAGAUCGGCGUGCAUAGAGGGUGCACGGAUGGCCUUUGCCCGUGUUAAGACAUAG
rnacentral:rRNA from 1 species